ensembl:snRNA U6 U6 spliceosomal RNA
GUGCUCGCUUCGGCAGCACAUAUACUAAAAUUGGAACGAUACAGAGAAGAUUAGCAUGGCCCCUGCGCAAAUUCGUGAAGCGUUCUAUAUUAAA